UCUGGCUUCAACAAAGUCUGUAUCAGGUGGGAGAUGAUAUAUGGCUGGAAGUAUGUAAAUCCACAGGCAGGUGUUAACUGGCUGCUUUGUUAUGCAAUUAACCCACAAUUCGCAAGCACCUCCAAAUAAGUAGGUGUCAUCACCCAAAUUUUACCUGCCCAUUGGUGAAGAUUCAGCGGGAGUCAUCACAGCCCAGGCAGGCUGCCCAACUCAGCUGGAAAUCAGCAGUGUCACCAACUGGACUGGUGUGAGAGAACCAACGAUGCAGGACCAACAUUUCCAUGCAAGGUUUUGGUUCCUGGCAUUCCCUUGGGCUAAGGGGAGGAUUUUCAACUGGACAGAAAUGGGUUAUAAGAUAUUCCUUAUUCCCUCUGCCUCGCCUCGACCAUCUCCAUUAAAAGUCAGUGUCUUCUGUCUGUCUUCAUCAGGUCUGUUCUCCUCUGCACCCAAGACAAGAUUCAGAGACACUCAAAGACCUGGGUCAGUCUGAAUUUCUCUCUAGUUAUUCCCCAGGUUGGGUAAGUUGAUGGCUA
rnacentral:lncRNA from 1 species